rnacentral:rRNA from 1 species
CAGUCGCCGCGGUAAAACGUAGGGCGCAAGCGUUAUCCGGAAUUAUUGGGCGUAAAGAGCUCGUAGGCGGUUUGUCGCGUCUGCUGUGAAAUCCCGAGGCUCAACCUCGGGCCUGCAGUGGGUACGGGCAGACUAGAGUGCGGUAGGGGAGAUUGGAAUUCCUGGUGUAGCGGUGGAAUGCGCAGAUAUCAGGAGGAACACCGAUGGCGAAGGCAGAUCUCUGGGCCGUAACUGACGCUGAGGAGCGAAAGGGUGGGGAGCAAACAGGCUUAGAUACCCGUGUAGUCCCUGUCUCUUAUAC